UUACCACAGGGAUGUUCUGUUUGUGCCCCUGCUAGGGGUUUGCUUGGCUUUCGAAACCUUUCAUGUGCCCCGAAUGCUACAAACCCUUGUAAUAAAUGCAAAGUGUAUAUAGUUUCUGCUACUUAUGAGAGGCAUCGAGGGAGUUAAGCACGGUGGCUUUUGUGUCUGCAGAUUUGAGCUGAAAUUCCAGUUCUGCAGCAUAGGGCUUAACAGGUUCACUCCCCUUCCCCAUCCUCUCAUCCCCUAGGGCUCUCUCUUCCUUCCACCUGGAUAGAUGCCCUUCUCAUCUUCACACAGCAGAACACUGCUUGUUCUGAAAGCUUGCUCUGCUGAUUCUUUUUCCAUGAGUCAGAAAGCCCACUUCGCUUAUAGGACGAGAACAUGGAUUUAAAAUCAGACAACUCUGGGUUCACCCCGUCCUUUUCCUAGCUAGACAAUGGUUGGAGCUUCUCAGUUUCCUUGGGAAAAAUGGGAUAAUGAUAUUCCUACCUUUUAAGGCUAUUGCAGACAUUAGGAAAAUAGAAACAGAAAGUUAUUUGUAGAGAUUUGAUGAGUAGCAAGUGCUCAGUAAUAAUGAGGUAAUUCUUGACUGUGUCUGAGUGAGUCUGUGAGUGCAUAUGAGUGUGUGAGAGAGAAUGUGUGUACAUGAGUGUCAUGCAUGCUCACACAUGUGUCUGGUGAAGGGCAGAUAUUCAUAUAGCUGCUCAGGUUGGUGGAAAUAAUUUCUUUUUAGUCUUAUUCUAUCGUUCCUCCCAGGACUGAGUAUCUGGCCUGUCUCACUUUUGAUGUGUAAUAUUGCUGGCGGUUAAGAGUGCCUUCUCUCUCCCCCACUCUACAGAUAUUCAGAAGUAACUGUGAAGUAAUUGUGGAUGGGAUCCAUGUCUAUUUGGAGGUGUAAGUCCGAGGAAGGAUGCACAUUGGAUGUGAAAGCCACAGCCGUGGUGACCAGGGACCAGGGUCUGCAAAUGUCCACAAAAGACUUGCAAGCAGCAUGA
rnacentral:lncRNA from 1 species